UUGGGCUAUAGCCAAGCGGUAAGGCAACGGACUUUGACUCCGUCACGCGCUGGUUCGAAUCCAGCUAGCCCAGCCAU
rnacentral:tRNA from 2 species